UACGGGGGGGGCAAGCGUUGUUCGGAAUUACUGGGCGUAAAGGGCUCGUAGGUGGCCAACUAAGUCAGACGUGAAAUCCCUCGGCUUAACCGGGGAACUGCGUCUGAUACUGGAUGGCUUGAGUGUGGGAGAGGGAUGCGGAAUUCCAGGUGUAGCGGUGAAAUGCGUAGAUAUCUGGAGGAACACCGGUGGCGAAGGCGGCAUCCUGGACCGGCAUUGACGCUGAGGAGCGAAAGCCAGGGGAGCAAACGGG
rnacentral:rRNA from 1 species